UACAGAGGGUGCGAGCGUUAAUCGGAAUUACUGGGCGUAAAGCGCGCGUAGGCGGCUUUGCAAGUCGGGUGUGAAAUCCCCAGGCUUAACCUGGGAACUGCAUUCGAGACUGCAUUGCUAGAGUAUGGGAGAGGGCAGUGGAAUUUCCGGUGUAGCGGUGAAAUGCGUAGAUAUCGGAAGGAACAUCAGUGGCGAAAGCGACUUCCUGGACCAAUACUGACGCUCAUGUGCGAAAGCGUGGGGAGCAAACAGG
rnacentral:rRNA from 1 species